rnacentral:rRNA from 1 species
UACGUAGGGACCAAGCGUUGUUCGGAUUUACUGGGCGUAAAGGGCGCGUAGGCGGCAAUUCAAGUCAUCUGUGAAAUCUCCGGGCUUAACUCGGAACGGUCAGAUGAUACUGCUUUGCUCGAGUGCGGAAGGGGCAAUCGGAAUUCUUGGUGUAGCGGUGAAAUGCGCAGAUAUCAGGAGGAACACCGAUUGCGAAGGCAGCUCGCUGGGACGGUACUGACGCUGAGACGCGAAAGCGUGGGGAGCGAACAGG